AAAGGAUGACUACUUUGAAGAAUAUACAAUAUGAAAUGUGUUUUGAUAUGUUUAAGACUUUUUUGGUCGCUUUAUUAUUUCAUGUGUUAUUUCAUAGUUUUGAUGUCUUCACUAUUAAUCCACAAUUUGGAAAACAGUAAAACAGGUACACUUGAAUGAGUAGGUGUCCAAACCUUUGAUGGGUACAGUGUCCUCUAGAAUUAUUGGCACCCUAAGUAAAUACAAAAAAAAGUUUACUAAUAAAUAAAUUGAGACACAGGGCUGUUAUCUUGGUAAAGGGAGGGUGCAAAAUGUACUAAAUGCGGGGGUGCCGAUAAUUGUGGCAUGUUUUUGAAUAACUCUGUUUUCUUGAUUUUUACCUAGGAUUGCCAAUAAUUCAGAAGGGCUGUAUAAUAUGCUGCUAAUGCUAAAACAGGCUUUUGCACACAAACUAAUGUGAAAAAGUCUUAGGCCAUCUGACAAACGUUUUCAAAGCCAUUUAUCUGAGCAUUAUAUGUUUAUUGGUUCAAAAAAUAAUAUAAAAUAAAUUUAAACACAAACAUUUAUAAAAUGAAAAGUAUCAAAAUCAGUGUGUUUUAAAAAUAAAAGUCACUACUGUAUGUAGAACGCAAAACCGAAGGAACUGUUUGGUAGACUUGAGUAGUUUAUUCAAGUGGCCUCUCUUACUUUCAGUUAUUUUCCCUGUCCAAGUGAUCCAGUACAACUUCAAUUAUGUUGAGGUCGGGGCUCUGAGGUGAUCAGCAAAAAUACUGUUCAUGUUCUAUCAGCAGAACUCUGCUCCAAGUAGGUCUUUGCUGUGUUUGUUGUCGUUAUUGGGGUUAUUAUGAGGCGAAAAUAAAAUUAUUGCCACUUUUUCAUCUUACACUUUAAGUUUCUAUAUAUUUCUUAAGUAAUUUGGCCACCUCAAAGACAUCUAUAACCUUUAGAUAACCAAUAGCGUUGUGUUACUUUUUAUUGUAUUAAUGUUUAUUUAUAUUGUACACUUACUGUCCAGACAAAGCUUUAAAACAACUUUUCUCAGGUGGCCUAAGACUUACACAUAACUGUAUAUACAAAUAUCAGACAAAGUGAUUUACAAAUGUAAAAAUACUGCAUGGGGGGAGGGUAAGAAAGUAUUUAAAUAGUGCAAUGGGGAACUCUGUCAGGCAGUUUAAUGUUACAUUUUCUGUUUCAGUCAUUCAUUCAUUCAUUUGUGCAAGUCUCACGGUCAUUGCUGAUUACAGAUUGCAUAAUUUCUAAUUCACAAAACCUAUUUUUACACAGGCCCAUCUGGGGCUUGUACAGUAGGGAAAAAAGUGGAAGAUACUUUGAAUUUGACCAAUAAAAUUGUUUUGGGGGGGAUGCAAAACAUUUUACUACACUGUACUCUAAACGCUGGUGCUUUCUGUGGUAGCAAGUUCAUGUAACACAUGAUAAAACAAUUUAAAUCUUUACAGACAUAUUACUGUUCAUUGUCUCAUAAUUUUACACAGAAAUCAUCUACACAGGGCUUGUGGUUAAUUUUCCUCACUCUUAGUGUUAUUAAAACUCCACGCCGCUUUAAUGACAUGCACUAGGAAGGAAUGGGGUUUCUUACAUGGUUUGGAAACAUUUGCCAGCAGUAACUCUUAGUGCACAUUUACUCAAUAACACCACAGGAUAUUGUUGAGGGAAUAAGGAAAUACUUGUUUUGACCAAAGAAAGUGUGUUUUGGCUAUAAUUAUUCAGUUGGCAAAAAAAAGCAAAAAAAAGAAAAAGGAAAUUAAAGGGAAAAGUCAACCAAUAACACCACAAAAAUAAUG
ensembl:lncRNA